UACGGAGGAUGCAAGCGUUAUCCGGGAUUCAUUGGGUUUAAAGGGUGCGUAGGCGGACUAUUAAGUCAGUGGUGAAAUCCUGCAGCUUAACUGCAGAACUGCCGUUGAUACUGAUAGUCUUGAGUUUGGUUAAGGUAGGCGGAAUGUGUAAUGUAGCGGUGAAAUGCUUAGAUAUUACACAGAACACCAAUUGCGUAGGCAGCUUACUGAGCCGACACUGACGCUGAGGCACGAAAGCGUGGGGAGCAAACCGGAUUA
rnacentral:rRNA from 1 species